UACAGAGGAGCCAAGCGUUGUCCGGAUUGACUGGGCGUAAAGCGCACGCAGGCGGACGCGCGCGUGGGGUGUGAAAUCUGGCCGCUUAACGGCCAGGCGCCAUCCCAUACGGCGGGUCUGGAGUGAUGCAGAGGUCGAUGGAAUUGCCGGUGUAGUGGUGAAAAUGCGUAGAGAUCGGCAGGAACACCCAGGGGGGAAACCAGUCGACUGGGCAUCUACUGACGCUGAGGUGCGAGAGCGUGGGGAGCGAACCGG
rnacentral:rRNA from 1 species